rnacentral:rRNA from 1 species
GACGAACGCUGUCGGCGUGCUUAACACAUGCAAGUCGAACGCUGAAGCUCAGCUUUUGUUGGGUGGAUGAGUGGCGAACGGGUGAGUAACACGUGAGUAACCUGCCCCCUUCUUUGGGAUAACGCCCGGAAACGGGUGCUAAUACUGGAUAUUCACUGGUCUUCGCAUGGGGGUUGGUGGAAAGGGUUUUUCUGGUGGGGGAUGGGCUCGCGGCCUAUCAGCUUGUUGGUGGGGUGAUGGCCUACCAAGGCUUUGACGGGUGGCCGGCCUGAGAGGGUGACCGGUCACAUUGGGACUGAGAUACGGCCCAGACUCCUACGGGAGGCAGCAGUGGGGAAUAUUGCACAAUGGGCGCAAGCCUGGUGCAGCGACGCCGCGUGAGGGAUGGAGGCCUUCGGGUUGUGAACCUCUUUCGCUCAUGGUCAAGCCGCAACAAUGGUUGUGGUGAGGGUAGUGGGUAAAGAAGCGCCGGCUAACUACGUG